AGUGGGAUAGCUGGGUCACAUGGUGAUUCCAUUCUGAGUUUUCUGAGGAAUCUCCAUCCUGCUCUCCAGAGUGGUUGCGCCAUUUUGAAGUCCCACCAGCAAC
rnacentral:pre_miRNA from 1 species